GAGCGGCACUUAAACGAUGCCGUCGUCUGGUGAUUGGCCUGUCCCCCGCCCGCACCAGAUGUGGACAAAGGCCUCAUCCCCCUCUCCGGGCCUUUGUCCCGCUUUCACAGAGCCGCCACGGCGCCGCCUCCGCGCCGUGGCGGUUUUUG
rfam:Sinorhizobium fredii GR64 contig00023, whole genome shotgun sequence.